ACUUCUCAAAAAUUGUAGACCAGUGGAGACCUGGGAUGAAAGAGGAGUUUUCUUCUGCUGCUGCUGCUCCAUAACUCGGGAGGGGAGGAGAAAACAAUGUGCUACUUAAUAUUCUUAUGCAACAUUAAUCUGAGGUUCAAUUGGAUUCUCAAAAGACCAGAAGACAAUGAACGGAUGUUGGGAUAAAUAAUCUGGCAGUAAACUGACUCAGGGCUUUUUGUUCUGAUCCAACAAAUGGAUGAGACCUCCAGUCUGUGGAUGGCCCCAGGCCAUACGGAAGGGUUGGAAGGACUUUGGCUUACUAAGGCCCCAUGAGACUAUGCUCGUCUUCUGAGCAAAGGGUGUGAUGAACUUGAAACCACAGGAAAACCCUUGGGUGGGGCUUUGAAGGACUGCUCCUGCCAAAGGCCACUGAGGACAAAAAAUGGAGUGGAUCCACUUAAAUGUGCUUGUUUGUGCUUCCUGCCACUCAACAGUCUUAUAUUGGAACUGUGUCCUUAAGUAAAGCACUGCUAUGCAAUGUUCUUGUUAGCCAAGCAGCAUAAUAAUUAGAAAACAAUUGCUCGCUGCCAAUAUCUCCGAUGUGAACAAGAAUGAGGAGGAACUUGGCCCUGAAUAAUGACAACUCAACAAGAAUAACAAAAAAAACAGAGCUCAGCCACUGCAAAACCAGACCCAGCUAUUAAUGAAAUUGAUAAUUCAUCUGUAAAUCUAAUAAAAACCAUAUUCAAACA